ensembl:snoRNA
GCAUGGGUUUGGAUUUAUGAUAGGUCUGUUCCUCUGGGCCUUUCAUGGUGCCCCCAUGACAGAGCAAACUGUGGCCCUGAGCAACUGCCUGGUGUCUAUGCCUGCAGGCUGCUGGCACUGGAGUGGGUUGCAUAGCA